UACGUAGGGUGCAAGCGUUAAUCGGAAUUACUGGGCGUAAAGCGUGCGCAGGCGGUUUUGUAAGACAGAGGUGAAAUCCCCGGGCUUAACCUGGGAACUGCCUUUGUGACUGCAAGGCUUGAGUGCGGCAGAGGGGGAUGGAAUUCCGCGUGUAGCAGUGAAAUGCGUAGAUAUGCGGAGGAACACCGAUGGCGAAGGCAAUCCCCUGGGCCUGCACUGACGCUCAUGCAUGAAAGCGUGGGGAGCAAACAGG
rnacentral:rRNA from 1 species